rnacentral:rRNA from 1 species
AGAGUUUGAUCCCGGCUCAGAAUCAACGCUGGCGGCGCGCUUAACACAUGCAAGUCGCACGAGAAAGUGGAGCAAUCCAUGAGUACAGUGGCGUACGGGUGAGUAACACGUGGAUCAUCUACCUUUUAGUGGGGAAUACCUCCGGGAAACUGGAGACAAUACCGCAUAAGCUCGUAAGAGGAAAGCCGCAAGGCGCUGAAAGAGGAGUCCGCGGUCGAUUAGCUGGAUGGCGGGGUAAUGGCCCACCAUGGCGAAGAUCGAUAGCCGGCCUGAGAGGGCACACGGCCACACUGGCACUGAAACACGGGCCAGACUCCUACGGGAGGCAGCAGUGGGGAAUCUUGCACAAUGGAGGAAACUCUGAUGCAGCGACGCCGCGUGAGUGAUGAAGCCCUUCGGGGUGUAAAGCUCUUUCGACGGGAACGAUAAUGACGGUACCCGAAGAAGAAGCUGCGGCUAACUACGUGCCAGCAGCCGCGGUAAUACGUAGGCAGCGAGCGUUGUUCGGAAUUACUGGGCGUAAAGAGUGUGUAGGCGGUGCUCUAAGUCUGUCGUGAAAUCUCCCGGCUUAACUGGGAGGGUGCGGCGGAAACUGGUGUGCUCGAGGGUGGGAGAGGUAAGCGGAAUUCCUGGUGUAGCGGUGAAAUGCGUAGAUAUCAGGAGGAACACCUGCGGUGUAGACAGCUUACUGGACCACUUCUGACGCUGAGACACGAAAGCGUGGGUAGCAAACAGGAUUAGAUACCCUGGUAGUCCACGCCCUAAACGAUGCAUACUUGGUGUGAGCCAUUCAGUUGGUUCGUGCCGGAGCUAACGCGUUAAGUAUGCCGCCUGGGGAGUACGGUCGCAAGGCUGAAACUCAAAGGAAUUGAAGGGGGGCCCGCACAAGCGGUGGAGCAUGUGGUUCAAUUCGACGCAACGCGAAGAACCUUACCUGGGCUCGAACGGCUAUGGACAAUCCUUGGAAACAGGGACUUCUCGCAAGAGACUGUAGUCGAGGUGCUGCAUGGCUGUCGUCAGCUCGUGUCGUGAGAUGUUGGGUUAAGUCCCGCAACGAGCGCAACCCUUGUCCUGUGUUGCCAUCAUUAAGUUGGGCACUCUCAGGAGACCGCCAGCGAUAAGUUGGAGGAAGGUGGGGAUGAUGUCAAGUCAUCAUGGCCUUUAUGUCCAGGGCUACACACGUGCUACAAUGGGCGGUACAAAGCGCUGCAAACCCGCGAGGGGGAGCCAAUCGCAAAAAACCGUCCUCAGUUCGGAUCGCAGGCUGCAACUCGCCUGCGUGAAGCUGGAAUCGCUAGUAAUGCCGCAUCAGAACGAUGGCGUGAAUACGUUCCCGGGCCUUGUACACACCGCCCGUCACAUCACGAAAGUGGAUUGUACUAGAAGUCUUAAUCAAACAAGCCCAAGGUAUGAUUCAUGAUUGGGGUGAAGUCGUAACAAGGUA